rnacentral:rRNA from 1 species
UACGUAGGGCGCAAGCGUUGUCCGGAAUUAUUGGGCGUAAAGAGCUCGUAGGUGGUUUGUUACGUCUGCUGUGAAAACCUAGGGCUUAACCCUGGGCCUGCAGUGGAUACGGGCAGACUAGAGGUAGGUAGGGGAGAAUGGAAUUCCCGGUGUAGCGGUGAAAUGCGCAGAUAUCGGGAGGAACACCGGUGGCGAAGGCGGCAUCCUGGACCAUGACUGACGCUGAGGAGCGAAAGCCAGGGGAGCAAACGGG